rnacentral:rRNA from 1 species
AACGAACGCUGGCGGCAUGCCUAACACAUGCAAGUCGAACGAGACCUUCGGGUCUAGUGGCGCACGGGUGCGUAACGCGUAGGAACCUGCCCUUGGGUUCGGAAUAACUCCCCGACAGGGGUGCUAAUACCGGAUAAUGUCUUCGGACCAAAGAUUUAUCGCCUUUGGAUGGUCCCGAGUUGGAUUAGCUAGUUGGUAGGGUAAAAGACUACUAAGGCGACGAUCCAUAGCUGGUCUGAGAGGAUGAUCAGCCACACUGGGACUGAGACACGGCCCAGACUCCUACGGGAGGCAGCAGUGGGGAAUGUUGGACAAUGGGCUAAAUCCUGAUCCAGCAAUGCCGCGUGAGUGCUGAAGGCCUUAGGGUUGUAAAGCUCUUUUACCCGGGAUGAUAAUGACAGUACCGGGAGAAUAAGCUCCGGCUAACUCCGUG